CCAGCACAAGCCAAGAUCCCCAUCUCCCACCCCGCUCCCUCAUUACGAGUGCUCUGCAGCGCCAUCAGCAGAGAGCAGAGUUCAUGGCGGCGGCGGAAGAGAACGGCAAUGGACUGGAGUUCCUAACAGAUCCUAUCGAUGGGUUUCCCUGGCCGGAUCUUGAAACCAACGAUUUAACUCCGGGCGGUGAGGCAGGUACUUGUCUCACACAGUCGGCUGCUGAAUCAAGCAUGGGAGAUAUUGGCGACGACCCACUGUCAAUCCAAUUGGCAGUGAAUAACGGCUGGGAAGCACUGAGCUUGUCGGCGGGCGAUUCGCAAGGACCAACUAGAAGGAUUCAUAUUGGACGAGCCCCUAUUGAGCGCACACCAUGCGCUGGAAGAGUGUGUGCCCUUGAAAAAAACCUUAAGAGGAUACGCGGAGACGAAAACAAAUACCGUCGUGGUACCAGCUGUUGGAUACAACUUUGAUUCAUUGGGAGAAGCAUACGACUUCUACAAUCUAUAUUCGUGGGAAAUUGGAUUUGGGAUAAGAUAUGGAAAAAGUAGGUUGAACGUCGAGAGAACCAAAUGUAUGCAAGAAAUGGUCUGUGGAUGCUUGGGCAAACGAAAAAGAGGAAACGCACGGACAUGCGAUGUGAGUGCCCUGCAUUGACAUGUUUGCUUCGAUCAAAUGACAAUGGCUGGUACAUAAGUGAGCACAGACCAUCCCACCACCAUUCCUUGACAGAUAAAUGUGGUGAAAAGGUGUACUGGCCUUCACAUAAACAUAUAGAUCUGUAUAAAAGAGACCUUGUCAAACAGCUUAGGGAGAACAAUAUCAGCAUUGGAAAAGUUUACAACAUAAUUGGUAGUUUCUUCGGCUCAAUGAAUAAUGUGCCUUUCACGAAAAGGGCUUUGAGGGGUCUAUGUGGUGAAAUCAGCCGAGAUCAAGCAGAUGAUGAUGUCCGGAAAACUAUGGAUGUCUUUGCAGAAUUGGGUUCAAAGGAUUCUGGUUAAGGAGUUUACUCUGGUCAACUGGUGCAAGCAGAAUGCAGUACCAUUAUUUCGGAGAUGCAGUAACAUUUGACACAACAUACCAUACAAACCUCUAUGAUAUGCCAUUUGGGCCUUUUGUUGGAGUUAACAACCACUUUCAGAGCAUUAUCUUCGGUGGUGUGCUUGUUAGGGAUGAGACGGCUGAAACUUUCGAGUGGGUGUUCAGCGAAUUCAUCCGCAUGAUGGGCGGCAAACCUCCUCAGACCAUUCUUACAAAUCAAUGUACAGCUAUGGAGCUUGCAAUAGAGAAAGUAAUGCCAGAUACCACACACCGGUGGUGCAAGUGGCACAUCGUGAAGAAGGCGAAGGAAAAACUUGGUGCAUACUACUCAAAGCGAAGCAACUUUAGAGCAGAGUUCCAUAAAAUUGUGAAUCACAUGAUAACAGAAGAUGAAUUUGAAAAUGCAUGGGCAGAGCUCCUUGAGAAAUACAGUUUGCAAAAAACACUUACCUUACACACAUCUACGAAGUUCGCACAACGUGGGCAAAACCAUAUUUCAGGGACACAUUUUGUGCAAAAAUGACAAGCACAUAACGCGGUGAGAGUGCAAACCAUAUGCUGAAGGGAUAUGUGCCAGCAAGCUGCCCCUGCACUUAUUUAUAUGAUGCUUCUUUUCGAUCGAGAAGCAAAUGAAAACUAUGAGGAACGGCGAACAAAGAUAACAUUGCCAGCUAUGUAGGUAAACACGCUACUGGAAUUCCACGCUAGCAAGAUCUACGAGCAAUGUUUGAGAAAUUUGGUGAGAUCCUGUAUAAAGCAGGACAGUACAGAGUAGAAGAAGUUGAAAAAGGUUCAAAAUAUUAUGUACAUCGAUACCACCCGGAUAAACAUGAAAAGUGAUGCAGAGUAUUGUACAUAGUGCAUGUCCUCGCUCAAGGUGAAGAAUUGACAUGUGAAUGUGGCAACUUCGAGCACACAGGAUUGCUAUGCUGCCAUUCCAUUAAGGUUCUUGAUUUCCUUGGUAUAGACAGAAUUCCAUCAAAGCAUAUCCUGAAAAGGUGGACAAAAGAUGCGAGACAUACUUCCAAAUAACUUGGCGCACCUACAGAAAGACAAUAUUUCAGCUAAGUGAAUAACAUUUAGACAUUCAAAUCUCUAUACACAUGCUUUAGAGGUUGUGAAGCUUGGUGAUGCAAAUCCAAUUGCAUAGGAUUGCGCGAUGGAACUUCUUAGAGCAGCAAUGGAUAAACUGACUCCUUUAGCUGCUGAGCAUGAUGGUCUGGGUUUAGAACACAUAAUAGAAUUGAAGAACACAAAGGUUAAGGCAUUGAGUCUGCUAGAACGGCCACAUAAUGGCUGCAUGAGCGACGAUGUGGGCAGUGCCAUUGGAAUUUUCAUUGGAUUAUCUGCUCCAGAGCGCAAACGGAAAGCUGGACGACCAACAAACAGCAGAGACAAGCCUCCGUACAACGAUCGAUCUGGGAAGAGCAAAAAGUUGAAGGUUACAUCGGAAGAUGCAGUUCUCAGAUGCGGCACAAGUAAAAAACACGGUUCUGCACUAUAUAUCGUGGCCCUGGUCACAAAAGCACGCCUCAGAAGUAAAGGAAAGAACCGAAAUGCUCGAUUUGCAGGGUGGGAGGUCAUCGGAAGAACACCUGCAACAAUCCUAAGAUCAUGGUACAUGUUGUCGAGCAAACAACUCAUGAUCCUGCUAUCGAUCAGUGAUUAAUAUCUAUGCAAGUAGAACCCAGUUUGUUUAUGUAUCCUGGUUGAUCAAUGAUAAGUAGGUGACAACGUUCCUGCCCAGUCCUGGUACGGAACAAUUGGUAGGACGGGCGAACUAAACCUUGGUUUGCGUUCGCCAUAUGUUGCAACUAGGGUUUCUUGUCUGGAUUUGGGGGAUCGAUUUGUGAUUAUUGUGUGGCCAUGCGGCGAGGUCGAUGGGGUUAAGGGUGUGUUUGGUUUGGGAACAAAGUGAAAUGAAAUGUCAUGGUUUCGUUUCACUAGAAUGGGUCGGUUUCAUCCUUGUUUUUGGUAGGGAAAAUUUAGAGGAAUAGAAUGGUUAGAUUUUAGUGUUCGGU